rnacentral:rRNA from 1 species
GACGAACGCUGGCGGCGUGCUUAACACAUGCGAGUCGAACGGAAAGGCCCUGCUUUUGUGGGGUGCUCGAGUGGCGAACGGGUGAGUAACACGUGAGUAACCUGCCCUUGACUUUGGGAUAACUUCAGGAAACUGGGGCUAAUACCGGAUAGGAGCUCCUGCUGCAUGGUGGGGGUUGGAAAGUUUCGGCGGUUGGAGAUGGACUCGCGGCUUAUCAGCUUGUUGGUGGGGUAGUGGCUUACCAAGGCUUUGACGGGUAGCCGGCCUGAGAGGGUGAACGGCCACAUUGGGACUGAGAUACGGCCCAGAGUCCUACGGGAGGCAGCAGUGGGGAAUAUUGCACAAUGGGCGGAAGCCUGAUGCAGCAACGCCGCGUGCGGGAUGACGGCCUUCGGGUUGUAAACCGCUUUCGCCUGUGACGAAGCGUGAGUGACGGUAAUGGGUAAAGAAGCACCGGCUAACUACGUG